rnacentral:rRNA from 1 species
UACGGGAGGCAGCAGUAAGGGAUAUUGGUCAAUGGGGGUAACCCUGAACCAGCCAUGCCGCGUGAGGGAAUGAGGCCCUACGGGUCGUGAACCUCUUUUGCCCGGGGACAAUACGGAGCACGAGAUGCCCCGUUGAGGGUACCGGGCGAAUAAGCAUCGGCUAACUCCGUGCCAGCAGCCGCGGUAAU